GCUGAGGGUUGGCGGCGAUGGUCGACUCGUGGUCGACUGCACCGGAGAGGGCGCCCUCUUCGUCGAGGCCAUCUCGGAGUUCACCCUCGCCGAGUUCGGAGACUUCGGGCCAUCAGACGAGAACCGGAGGUUGCUCGUUCCCACUGCGAGCUCCAACGACCCGCCAUUGUUCCUCAUUCAGGUCAUCUCUCCAUCACCUCCUGUCUCUAGGGAAUGAAUAGAUAAACAGUUUAGGAGUUUGUGAUGCGCUCAACUUACUACUACAGGUAACGGCGUUCAGGUGUGGUGGAGUCUGCGUGGGCGCCGCUGUACAUCACACUCUGGCCGACGGCCUCGCUGCUCUCAACUUCAUCAACUCCUGGGCUGAUCUCACCCGG
rnacentral:lncRNA from 1 species